ACUUUUUAAAAGACAGCAUAAUUUCAGCACAAAUUCAGUUUAAAUCAGUUUUUCAGGGAGUCUGUCUUUACUGAGAUCCUCAGUUCAAACAUAAGUUCUGUAUAUUCCUAAAGCAUAGGCACAUAGGCAGUCUCUGCCAAAUACAAAAAGUCCAAACUCCCAGAGAGAAAUCAGGUAUUCAAUAUAGCUGUAUUGUUUUUUUAAACUGUUUAGAUACAGUGAAAUACCCUUGUCACUUAGGAAAUUAUAUAAAAUCAUUUUUAAGCAAUUUGAAAGAAAACAGACUAAGCAAAGAAAAGAAACUUAAGGGCUGGGGCUGUAGCUCAAUGGUGGAGUGCUUGCCCAGCACGCGUGAGGCACUGGGUUCAAUCCUCAGCACCACAUAAAAAUAAAUAAAAUAAAGGCAUUGUGUCCCUCUAUAACUACAAAAAAGUUUUAAACAGAAAAGAAACAUAAUUUUUUAAGGUAUUAUAAUAUUAGGAUCCUAAGAGAAGAUACUGUAUGCUAGAAACAAGAACAGGCUGUUAUAAAGAAAAACAUUUAGAAACUAAAAAUUCUUAAAAAUUAAACAUAUGCUAGACAUUGAAAGAGAACUUGUAAAGAUAAGUAUGGCUAUUCAAUUUAUAGAUAAAGUACCUUAGAAAUCUCAUAUGUAGGCAGUGGCAAUGAUAAGCUUAAGAGUGAUGCACUACUCUCCUUAGGAACUUAAGCAAUUGAGAUGUAGAUUGUGAAUAACUGCAUCUGGAAAAGUAAACUGUAUUUGGAUAUGCCUGUUCACCAUGGGGAAGAGAUUAUGUUUACCACAAUUCAUUUUUGAAUGAAUUCCAAAUUGUACAUGUA
rnacentral:lncRNA from 1 species